rnacentral:lncRNA from 1 species
AUCUCUCUCUGGAGAUUGUUCCUUGUGGAGUUUCUCAUGACCCUAUGAUACUGACUACAUGUCUCUUUGCAAAAUACUGAAAUGUGUCUUGUCCAGUUUCCUCAGCUGUUUACCUAGCUGUCUAUAGGACAUCUGUUUCAAGAUAGGCAACAGUCACAUAACAUUUCGCCUUCCUGGAGGAGAAGAGUACAGGAAACUUGAUUUUGAAGCUCAAUAUUGCCAAAGUUUUCUGUUUUUCAUAAAGAUGCUAGACAAUGACAUCAUAUGUACUGUGUGUCCCUUUUCUUUUUGGAUGGAACUUCAUUUCAUGGUGGAAAUGUUGCAGGGGAACGAUUGAUCUUGAAUUUCACUACUGCUGCACUGAGCAAAAGUAACAAAUGGUGUCAUUGCUGAAGCUUGUGAAAAAAUAUUUGUAGUCAUGGUUGUAGCUGGAGCCAAAGUCAGAGGCACUGAACCAGAACCUAGAUAGAACCCAAACUUUUCUAAGGUCACAUAUUAUUUUGUUUAUUUGUUUUAACUUGACUAAGUAUGUUUUUGAUCAUUUAACCAUGGUCUCUGUUCAUAACAGCCCUGUGGGCUUGUAUGAGAAGAACUCUUCACUGUUUUUAAAGCCGAUUUCAAUCAAAUAUUGUUAUUCAGAACAAAUAUUUUCACCUACCACAUCAUGUAACUGCAAUCUGUGCUUCUGCUUUCAAGACUGUUAUAAUGCGUAUAGAUUAAAUGACUGUGGAAAAUUAACAGUGGCCUUAUAUAAAAACAGCUGCAAUCAGGAAAAAAAGACUGAAAACUCCCUAUUUCUUGUAUAUGUAACCAAAGCUGCAUACUGCUGGCUAAAUCUUGGCAUUUGGUCUAAAACUCUCACAGUCUUUCUUAGUUAGAAUUGAAUGCAGACCACUUGCUGCAGGGAUGCGUUCUCAGCUAAAUAGUGUGUGUUGGAAGCAGUUAUUAGCAAAUUUAAUUAAAUCCUGGCAAUUGCUAUAGCAAAUAGAUGCAUUCUUCAUCUGAAAAGCUGCGGCUGUGUUCUGCUCAGCACCUGACACAUGCAUCUCUGAAAUGUUUCCAUGUCAAAUUUAAAUGUAGUGAUCCCUCUGCAGAAGGCCUAAUUUACAAAAUUACUGAACUUUCGCAUUUCUGACCGAAGUCAAGGCAAUCUGUUGCUUAAAAACUAAUCCUAGGUAUUUCCAUCUUGCAAUGGCAAUUCUUUGGGCAGAAAAUAGUUACAUGUGACGUAUGUGUUAUCACUUUUAUUCUUCAUUCUAAAUCACAGUGAAAUUCUUAAUGAAAAAAAAAUAGGGAAUCUUGUAAAACAAAGAUUUGCAAGGCACUGAAUGUCUUCCCAGCUUUACAAGAGAAGCUGUCGUGAGCCAUCUUUUUAAUAACUUUAGGAAAUAUCAUGUUACAAAUGUUACAAACAUAUAUAAAGACACACUAAAUGCUACAUAACAGUUAAGGGUCUAUAUUUUUUAACCUCAAAAGUAAAAGCGCUUUAACCAACCUGCAUUCAUAAAAGAAAUACUGGUAGACCCUUAACUCUUGUGAAGCCAGUGAUUACUGGCAUAAAGAAAAGAAAUAACACAUUCUGAAAUAUAUUACAAUGAAGCUGCAUAGCACAUAGUUUAUAGAUUUAUAAGAUUUAGAUUAAACCGGGAUCUUUUCCUGUGUUUAUCAACAGCAUUAAAAAAAAAACAGUAAGUGAACCUGGAAUACCGCAAACCAAUCAAUAAAGUUUAAAAGCUCCAGUGAAUUUAACCUAUAACAGGUCCUUGUUUGGAGAACAUGCUCAAGAAACACAUGUGCCUUUAAGAGGUCUUGAAAGAAUUUACACCCAUGGACCAUUACCAUUCCCAAACACCCUGCAGCUUUACCAGCCCAACAUGUGCUGACUGUAUAUCACCAUGACCCUUUCACUAAAGCUCUUUUGACUGGAGUGCUUUUAAUACCCACUUUCUCAGCUGAGCUCAGGAGUGAUUUGUUUUACAUGCCACAUUAAUCCUUUCCACAUUUUCUGGAUGAGGCAACCACAAUUCCACUUGUGAGGUGUUUCUAAAACAUAGUUAUAGGAAUAAAGCAGCAGGGUCCCAGACUUGACAACUUCCCUUUGGGCGGCUGACAAAGUGGGCUAUCGGGGCUGGUGCUGGAGCUCGCAGUUGUGCCCGGCAGUGAGGGUGGGCUGCUCUCCGUGGUUAGCAGGAGGCCCAAUUAUUGUUGGCAAUUCAGCCACAAUUAAAACCCUGUAGGGAUCUUCGUAGGUUUAAUGUCCAAUGAAUGCUGAUGCAGAUUAAUAAAAUCCAGCUCUUCUUUUAUAAGCUUAAGAUGAAAUGGAAUAGAGAGAAACAGUUCUGAAAAUAUAAAUCGCAGCUCCGUAAAACCCAAGAAGUUUAUGCCUCACACCUACAUGAUUGGAGGAAAGGAGCUUUUUAUAAAUGGGCAAUUAGUGUUCAGCGUACUGGCUUUUAUUAUGUGGUAAUUUUACAGUUUUCACUUUAAAGACACCCCCCAAAAAAAUCAAAGGCCAAAUGAAUUUCUGUUGUAUGCAUUUAUGAGCUUUCUGCAUUUAUAAUGUUAGCUCAAUGUUACCAAUGUAAGGUUUUGAAAAUUUAGUGUUGUCAACAAGGCUAACAGAGUGGACCAACCAAUUAUAAAACUGUUUUUACAUG